rnacentral:rRNA from 1 species
GAUGAACGCUGGCGGCGUGCCUAAUACAUGCAAGUCGAGCGAACGGACGAGAAGCUUGCUUCUCUGAUGUUAGCGGCGGACGGGUGAGUAACACGUGGAUAACCUACCUAUAAGACUGGGAUAACUUCGGGAAACCGGAGCUAAUACCGGAUGAUAUUUUGAACCGCAUGGUUCAAAAGUGAAAGACGGUCUUGCUGUCACUUAUAGAUGGAUCCGCGCUGCAUUAGCUAGUUGGUAAGGUAACGGCUUACCAAGGCAACGAUGCAUAGCCGACCUGAGAGGGUGGUCAGCCACACUGGAACUGAGACACGGUCCAGACUCCUACGGGAGGCAGCAGUAGGGAAUCUUCCGCAAUGGGCGGAAGCCUGACGGAGCAACGCCGCGUGAGUGAUGAAGGUCUUCGGAUCGUAAAACUCUGUUAUUAGGGAAGAACAUAUGUGUAAGUAACUGUGCACAUCUUGACGGUACCUAAUCAGAAAGCCACGGCUAACUACGUG